CUGCUACUAAGUAAGACACACCAGUCUCUUUCUGCAUGGGGGCCUUGCAUGCAAUGGGUGUGAGCUGCAGCCUAUUUGGAAGUGCAUUCAACCUGUUGCCUACAGGAGUUGCCCUACAGGACCUUGGAGACAGUU